GACGAACGCUGGCGGCGUGCCUAACACAUGCAAGUCAGGGAUUGAAGGGUAGCAAUACUUUUCAAGACCGGCGCACGGGUGAGUAACACGUAGGUAAUCUACCCUUAGGCGGGGAACAACCACGCGAAAGCGUGGCUAAUACCGCAUAAUGCAACGAGACCACAUGAUUUUGUUGUUAAAGAUCCGCAAGGAUCACCAGAGGAUGAACCUGCGUCCGAUUAGCUAGUUGGCGGAGUAAUAGCCCACCAAGGCGACGAUCGGUAGCCGACCUGAGAGGGUGAUCGGCCACACUGGAACUGAGAUACGGUCCAGGACUCCUACGGGAGGCAGCAGUGGGGAAUCUUGCGCAAUGGGCGAAAGCCUGACGCAGCGACGCCGCGUGAGGGAUGACGG
rnacentral:rRNA from 1 species